CAAUCAAACCGAGGCCGUCAUCCUUAUCUGAAUCGCGUGCUUUCCAGCCCUCUGCCCGCUGUGCCCCACCCCCACGCCCGGCGACCCGCAGGCCGCACCCACCCACCCACCCGCACCCAGCGCCAUGUCCACCGCGGCCACCGCGUGCGCCACGCGGGCGGCGGCGCGUCCGCCCCUCAACACGGCUCCGGCACGCCGCGCGCCGCCUUCUGCCGUGCGCCCGCCAUCGGCCACCCCCGCCCGCCGCGCCGCCGGCUGUUGCUUCUGCGCCGCCGCCUCCUCGGCGUCGUCGCCCUCCACCUGGGAUUGGACCCGAUGGAGCCGCCACUUCGACGAGGUCGACCAGGCGGAGAGCUACGCAUCCCUCCUCCAGUUCCAGCUAGAGGAGGCGGUGGAGAACGAGGAUUUCGCGGAGGCCGCCAAACUCAAGAGGGACAUCAUAGAGGCCACCGGAAACGACGCUGUAGCCCACGUCAUGGCCGAGCUCAAGAAUGCUAUAGAGGAACAGCGGUACCAGGACGCGUCAAGGUUGACAAGGCUUGCUGGGACCAGCUUGGUAGGUUGGUGGGUGGGAUAUGCUAAGGACACUGAUGAUUCCAUCGGGAGAAUUGUACGAAUAAGCCCUGGUGUCGGGAGAUAUGUGGCGAAGAGCUACAACCCAAGGCAAUUGGUCACUGCAUCUUCAGGAACUCCAUUAUUUGAAAUUUUCCUUGUCAAAGAAGAUGAUGAGACAUAUACAAUGAAGGUGGUACACAUGCGACCAACAAAAGGAACUUCAGGUGCACCAUCCAUAUCAUCAACAAUAACAGAAAGCCCAGCAAAGGUAGAGAAUGAAAAUUCAUCAGAAAGUAGUGCUAUAUCUGACAGUGUUACAGAGGAGGCAAAUACAGAUACUACGGUAAGAGGAAAUGAGGAUGCUGAAGAGAAAGCACAAGAUGUUGGUAGCAGCAAGGAUAGUAGUGUCGAAGGAUUAAAAAGUGUUUUGAAUUUUUUUAAGUCUCGGAUUCCUGAAUUCAAAGUUCAGGUGAUAAAUGUUGAUGUGGCUGAGGAAACUGAAUUAGCUGCAAAUUCGUCUGAAGAAUUAGUGCAAGAUGAUGUGAAAAGUACUCCAGAAAGCUCAUUGGAAGAGCCAGCCACUGAGGAACUCGAGCAGGAGGAAGAUGUUCCGGAAGAAAAUACGGAUGAAGAAAGUAAAAGCACGGAAGUGAAGCUUUUUAUUAGUGGAGUGGUUCACAAUAAAGAAGAUGCUGGAGCAAAAUCAUAUGUUCGAGUUCCAGCUGAAAUAAAUAACAUGGAAAAGGACUCCUUUGAACUGUACAUUCCUGGAGAAGGUUCUGAUCGUGAUUUGGCUGAAACAAAGGCUGCAAAACAGAAAGUUGCAGAUAUGGCUGCUAAAUUAGCCUCAGAGCUUAUGCCGUCUGAUGUUGCCAAGGCAUUAUGGGGUACAGCCAAGAGUUCUUCAAAGAUAAAUAAAGAAGUUCAGGAGCUUUUAAGGCUUACGUUAAGCAAGGCCCGAGUCAAGCUGACCGAAAAUACCAUUUUUAAACGAAUCAUUAUGGACACUAACAGCACAGAUCCAUUUAAUGGUCUCUAUGUGGGAGCAUUUAGUCCAUAUGGACCAGAAAUUGUGCAGCUUCGUCGGAAGUUCGGCCACUGGAACAGUACUGAUGACGUUGAGUUUUUCGAGUAUGUCGAAGCAGUAAAGUUGACUGGUGAUCUGAGUGUUCCUGCUGGCCAGAUAACGUUCCGUGCUAAGAUUGGGAAGGGCAAGCGACUUGAGAAUCGAGGAGCAUAUCCAGAGGAAUUUGGUGUGGUAAUUUCGUCCUGCCGAUCUGAUUGUUUGAAAGAUGCUAAGAUAUUGCCAGUUACAAAGGUCAGGGUAGAAUAGCUCAGCCUGGAUUCAAAAAUCCUCGAUGGGUGGAUGGUGAGCUGUUGGUACUCAAUGGCAAGAGUACAAUUCCACACCUUGGAGGCGCAGAGCUCGGUUUCCUGUAUAGUGUACCUGAGCAGAGUUUUCUGGUUCUCUUCGAUCGGCUUAAUCUUCCCGAGUGAUGAGACUCCUAAAGGGAGCAGACUCCUCACAUGUAGAUUGCAUGAACGCGCAGAGGCCGGCCACAGCUCCAAGUGACCGAAACAGGUCUGGGGGGCCGUUUCCCCAUCGUCUUCUGCCCUCUGGGCUUCCUGCCAAUCCUUUCUCCGCACCUACUUUUUAGGAGCUCAUGUGCUUAACUCGUUUCAGAGUGUGAGGGAAAGUCGACACCAUUGCUGGUCUAAACUAACGGAGGAGUCUUAAUACUAAUAAUAUAUAUGUUAUAGCAUGGUAGUUUGCUCUCCAAUGCCACAGUUGUAGCUGUAUUGGGUAUGGGCAUGACAGUUUUGCGAGUUUUACCCGUCAUCGUUGAUUUCAGUAAUUACCGAAUUGAAUAAAAAUCGUUCUGGUGUAUCGUGAUGUUACAAUUAUAAUAAUAUAAAACAAGGCAAAUAAAGUCUCAUGAUUUAUGAUC